AUUUACUUGACGUGUUAUCAUCUUCCAUAACACAGAGACUUCCAAAGGAAAAAAAAAACAUCCUCUAAUAUGCAUCUGUAACUUCUGAGCAGUGCUGGUUGCAUCAAAACAUUCCAAAAUUUCAUCAAAUUUAUAUUAAGAUGAAAAAUGGAUGUAAAAUUCAGUCCCAUGACUGCUUGUCCUAAGGAUGGUCUCACUUGGAUAAGCAACAGCGUUAAGUUACGGUGUCCUAAUGAUACACUAGGUAGAAACCUCUACCAGUGUGUACCUAAUGAUGACAGAUCUUCACUUGUGGAAUUUUGUCUUCAAGGGAGUAUUGGCAGAUAUGGAGCAGAUACUUGCCCUUUUGCUGUAUCUUCGGGACUCCUAGACGCCAUCAACUGCUCCACUUUUGUAAAAGGUUGUCCAAAAGAACCGUACUUAACCAAUGAAGUUUACAAAU